CAUUUAAUUAUAAAACAUUACUGACCUAAAUUUUAAGCAGUUCCUGUCAUAAUUUUUAAUUUAAUUAUAAAUAUGUUCUAUGUGACACUUCCAUAAUGUCUUUUGUAAAAGCUCCUCCUUAGAAUUUACAGACAGUUCAAUGAAUCCUGGGUGGGGGUUGAUGCACAUUGCAAGAUUAAGAAGGUUGUAGCAGAGUGGCUAAUCUUUGAAGCACCAUACUUGUGCAGCAUGUUAAUGAAGAAUAACAUAAUUUAUGCUCAAAUUCAAGACACUAUUACACCAAAUAGCCAACUAUUGGAAAUAUUCUACUGAAAAAAAAAAAAAAAAAAAGGUAUCAAGAAGUUGUGCAGUCAAUGGAUUCCUCAUUAUUUAACCAAGGAGGUUAGAAUAGAUGGAGUAAGCAUGACGUCACAAAAUUGAAGCCGAGGAAGGAUCGACAGCGUGACGUCAUGACUGAUGAGCCAGCAUGGCUGCCGUGUAGCGUACGGAUAAGACGAAAGCUUUGUUUAUGAUUGUAUUAAAACUGCUCAGCCAGAUAAAAUUGGUGAAUGUAGUGAAGGAUGUCAAUCAUUCCCGCUGCUACGCAGCUAAUUUCAUAAGUAAAUGCCAUAAACAGGUAUUUUAGUAUUUCUAUUAUUCUGACUUUAUUGCUACUCGCUAUUAGUUCAGCAUUGCUUUGUUGAUCGUUUCGACCUGAUUUUGAGAAAUAUGGAUAGAUGUGCUGCACCAAAUUGUCAAAUCAUUCUAGAAAUAACUUUAGGAUGUUUUGUUUAGCAAAAAAUGAAAAAAGAUGAAGAAGAAGUAAUUCUUUCUAGUCGAGAUCAAUGGAUUUCGGUCGCAGGAGCGUGUUUUUGUGAAUGUAUUAAAGGUCUAUGCUGUAUUUUGAUUCUGAUGUAUUGUCGCCAAAUAUAUCAGUUGGCGCCAGUCUUAAAAAUUGGUGCAUUUUGAAGAAAACCAGUUUGAAUGUUCUAGGAAAGAUGGGUUUAAAAAACUAAAGCCUUGUUUAAUGUGCCUAAUCCAACACAACUGUUGACCCCCACAGCAUGUAAAAGGCAUUGGGUUUACCAAACUACCAUUCAAUGAUAUCCAGUUUUUAAAAUGUAUGUUUUUUUAAGUUUUAUAGUUUUCAUAAAAAAUGUUUCAUAUUAAAAAUGGAUUAAUUUGUUUUAUAAAUAAAUCAAAAUAUUGAAAUUCAGGCAUUAUAUGAUUUAAGCUUUAAUUUCAGUGCUUAAGAAUAGAUUAAAAAUUGAAAUUUUUAAUAGAUAAUAAUUCAUAAUACUGUUUAAAUUUUGCUGUUAUAUAUAUAUAUAAUUAAAUGUGUAUUUUAUUAUAAUAAUCAUAUUUAAAAUGAGGCAUAAAAGCAACCUCAAUUUGAUAUAGUUUUUGAUUAAAAUUACUGAUUUCGAGGCCUAUCAGACACAGGUCUCAUUUCUUCAGAUUUGCCCCUAAAAAAGAGAAACCUGUAUUUGAUUGCCUUCAAAGUCUACAGAGGUUUGUUCAAAAUCAGGAUUAAACUAAAAUAACUUUUUUGCUUAAUUUUAAAUUUUACAUAUAUAUAGGAAUAUGCAUUAAGUAAGCAAAAGAACAGUAUUAUUGAAAGUAAUAAUUUUGAGUAAUAUAAUAAUAUGGUAAUGUAUGUUUUAAUGUCCUAUAUGUCUUGUCUAAGUCCUCGCUUUCAGAAGUGGGGCUUCA